ACAGCAGUCGCCGCGGGAAAACGGAGGGUGCAAGCGUUAUCCGGAUUUAUUGGGUUUAAAGGGUCCGUAGGCGGACUUAUAAGUCAGUGGUGAAAGCCUGUCGCUUAACGAUAGAACUGCCAUUGAUACUGUAAGUCUUGAGUAUAUUUGAGGUAGCUGGAAUAAGUAGUGUAGCGGUGAAAUGCAUAGAUAUUACUUAGAACACCAAUUGCGAAGGCAGGUUACCAAGAUAUAACUGACGCUGAGGGACGAAAGCGUGGGUAGCGAACAGGAUUAGAGACCCCAGUAGUCCCUGUCUCUUAUAC
rnacentral:rRNA from 1 species